AGAAUCAACGCUGGCGGCGUGCCUAACACAUGCAAGUCGAACGAGAAAGUGGAGCAAUCCAUGAGUAAAGUGGCGCACGGGUGAGUAACACGUGACUAACCUACCCUUGAGUGGGGGAUAACCUAGAGAAAUCUGGGCUAAUACCGCAUAAUACCUUCGGGUCAAAGGAGCAAUUCGCUUAAGGAGGGGGUCGCGGCCGAUUAGUUAGUUGGCGGGGUAAUGGCCCACCAAGACUAUGAUCGGUAUCCGGCCUGAGAGGGCGCACGGACACACUGGAACUGAAACACGGUCCAGACUCCUACGGGAGGCAGCAGUGGGAAUUUUGCGCAAUGGGGGAAACCCUGACGCAGCAACGCCGCGUGGAGGAUGAAGUCCCUUGGGACGUAAACUCCUUUCGAUCGGGACGAUUAUGACGGUACCGGAAGAAGAAGCCCCGGCUAACUUCGCGCCAGCAGCCGC
rnacentral:rRNA from 1 species